GCCUGGGUGGCUCAGUUGGUUAAGCACCUGACUUCGGUUCAGGUCAUGAUCUCGUGGUUCAUGGGUUCAAGCCCUGCAUCAGGCU
rnacentral:tRNA from 1 species